AAACGGUAGGGUAUUGGCCUACCGUGGCAAUGACGGGUAACGGGGAAUUAGGGUUCGAUUCCGGAGAGGGAGCCUGAGAAACGGCUACCACAUCUAAGGAAGGCAGCAGGCGCGCAAAUUACCCAAUCCUAAUACAGGGAGGUAGUGACAAGAA
rnacentral:rRNA from 1 species